rnacentral:rRNA from 1 species
UACGGAGGGGGCAAGCGUUAUUCGGAAUUAUUGGGCGUAAAGGGCGCGUAGGCGGCCGAUCAAGUCGGGGGUGAAAGCCUGUGGCUCAACCACAGAAUUGCCUUCGAUACUGUUUGGCUUGAGACCGGAAGAGGUUAGUGGAACUGCGAGUGUAGAGGUGAAAUUCGUAGAUAUUCGCAAGAACACCAGUGGCGAAGGCGGCUGACUGGUCCGGUUCUGACGCUGAGGCGCGAAAGCGUGGGGAGCAAACAGG